GUGGGAGCACGUUGUGGGGUAAUGAUUCCGGGCAUUAUCCGAUCCUGAUCGCGAUCCGAGCGUGUCAUGCUACAAGUUGGUUGCGCACUUGUUUAUGGUUCCCGACACUUGUUUAUGCGCUGUGCGGGUGUCCUAUUUUUAGUAAUGCAUUGCACAUCAGCCCGUACGUUCACCUGCACGUGCGAGACAAAAUUAUCAUAGG
rnacentral:lncRNA from 1 species